rnacentral:rRNA from 1 species
CAGGGGAGCAUGUGGUUUAAUUCGAAGCAACGCGAAGAACCUUACCUAAGCUUGACAUCCCAAUGACAUCUCCUUAAUCGGAGAGUUCCCUUCGGGGACAUUGGUGACAGGUGGUGCAUGGUUGUCGUCAGCUCGUGUCGUGAGAUGUUGGGUUAAGUCCCGCAACGAGCGCAACCCUUGUCUUUAGUUGCCAUCAUUAAGUUGGGCACUCUAGAG